rnacentral:rRNA from 1 species
CACGUCGAUAACCUAACUUUAGAUUUGGAAUAAUCUCGGGAAACUGAGUGUAAUACCGAAUAGAGGAUGGGUACUGGAAUGUUCUUUCCUUUAAAGCUUCGGCGUCUAAAGAUGGGUCGGCGGCGGAUUAGGUAGUUGGUGAGGUAACGGCUCACCAAGCCGAAGAUCCGUAGGGGCCUUGAGAGAGGUUGCCCUGAGAGGGACACUGAGAUACUGGUCCCAGCCCUAAGGGGUGCAGCAGUCGGGAAGACUUUACAAUGCGCGCAAGCGUGAUAAGGGGAUUCUGAGUGCUCAGGCUUUUGCCUGGGCUUUUCUCUAGAGCAAAAAUCUAGAGGAAUAAGUGGUGGGCAAGACUGGUGCCAGCCGCCGCGGUAACCCCAGCGCCACAAGUGGGAACCAUGUUUAUUGGGUCUAAAGCAUCCGUAGCCGGCUUGUUAAAUUCUCUGUGAAAUCGUUGCGCUUAACGUAACGGCGUGCAGAGAAAACUGGCAAGCUUGGAACCAGAAGAAGUUAGAGGUAUUCCUAGGGGAGCGGUAAAAUGUUAUAAUCCCAGGAGGACCACCGAUGGCGAAGGCAUCUAACUAGUAUGGAUUCGACGGUGAGGGAUGAAAGCUAGGGGAGCGAUCCGGAUUAGAUACCCGAGUAGUCCUAGCUGUAAACGCUGCGAGCCAGAUGUUACACAAUCUUCGAGAUUGUGUAGUGUCGAAACGAAGGUGUUAAGCUCGCCACCUGGGAAGUACGGUCGCAAGGCUGAAACUUAAAGGAAUUGGCGGGGGAGCACUACAAGGGGUGCGGCGUGCGGUUUAAUCGAAUUCAACGCCGAGAAUCUCACCAGGGUUGACGGCACAGUGAAGGUCAGUCUAAAGGGCUUACCUGAGGAGCCGAGAGGUGGUGCAUGGCCACCGUCAGCUCGUGCCGUGAGGUGUCCUGUUAAGUCAGGCAACGAGCGAGACCUGUAUCCACUGUUGCUAACGUGUCCGAAAGGAUGAGCGAGCACACUGUGGAGACUGCCUUCGAAAGAAGGAGGAAGGCGCAGGCUACGGUAAGUCUGUAUGCCCCGGAUAUCCUGGGCUACACGCGCGCAACAAUGAUAAGGACAAUGGGAUGCAACUCCGAAAGGAGAAGCCAAACCUCGAAACCUUAUCUUAGUACAGAUUGAGGAUUGCAACUCAUCCUCAUGAGGUCGGAAUCCCUAGUAAUCAGAGGUUAGCAUCCUCCGGUGAAUAUGUCCCUGCUCCUCGCACACACCGCCCAUCAAACCAACCGAGCAGGCUUUAAGUGAGUCACAACUAUUUGGUUGUGCCGAACUUAAGGUCAGUAAGGUGGGUUAAGUUGUCACAAGGUA